ACAGGAUUAGAUACCCUGGUAGUCCACGCCGUAAACGAUGAGUGCUAAGUGUUAGGGGGUUUCCGCCCCUUAGUGCUGCAGCUAACGCAUUAAGCACUCCGCCUGGGGAGUACGACCGCAAGGUUGAAACUCAAAGGACUUGACGGGGGCCCGCACAAGCGGUGGAGCAUGUGGUUUAAUUCGAAGCAACGCGAAGAACCUUACCAGGUCUUGACAUCCUUUGACCACUCUGGAGACAGAGCUUUCCCUUCGGGGACAAAGUGACAGGUGGUGCAUGGUUGUCGUCAGCUCGUGUCGUGAGAUGUUGGGUUAAGUCCCGCAACGAGCGCAACCCUUGAUUUUAGUUGCCAGCAUUUAGUUGGGCACUCUAAAGUGACUGCCGGUGCAAGCCGGAGGA
rnacentral:rRNA from 1 species